GUGCCAUCUGAAAGUUAUACAUGCUAAAACUCUCCGGCUAAAAUUUCAGCACUCUACUCUUUGUUGUUAAAUGCUUUAUUUUUUUAUUUGUUUUUUUAGAUGAAAGACAUCAAUGUCAACAAAAAAGCCAGAAUUUGUACAGAUGAUGCAUAAAACAACACUGUCAGAUAUAAAGGUAUGUCUAAAAAGAUGAGGUUUUUGUUUGUUUUUAGUUUUAAACCCUCAAACCCAUGACUUUUACUUUAUAUCUUGAGUUUAUGAUCAUCGUUGAAAAGCGACGUCAGUAUUUAAUUGUCGAGGCAUUACGUUACGGAACAUGUGAGCUGUUAAAUAAAAAUACACGCACACAAAAAAAACACACUACCUAGAACGAGUCUUCUUCAGGGAGACGUGAAGAUGUGCUGUAACUCAGCCUGCAAAACUGCUGCUGUUCCAGACACGGCAAGCUUUCAAACACUCUGCUUCGGUUGCGAGUCGUAAAGAUGAGUGCAGCGAGCUCAGCUACCGACCAUCCUCCUCCAGUGAAACUCGUCAGCCGGCAUGACUUUUCUGCAUUCCACCAUUAUCUUUUUGUUUUUUGUGGAAAGCAUCGCUGACACCAACCCCCGCCAGCCGGGCUUUCUGCUCACUCACCUUCCUGUUAUUGUCUUCUAUUUAGUGGAAAACGUCUUUGAGAAGCGCUAUGUUCUUCGCGCGUAUACGUUUAUUGUAUUAUUAUUAUUAUGAAAUAAAAAGCUUUAAUAAUCA